rnacentral:rRNA from 1 species
CCUACGGGUGGCAGCAGUGAGGAAUAUUGGUCAAUGGGCUUACGCCUGAACCAGCCAAGUCGCGUGAGGGAAGACUGCCCUAUGGGUUGUAAACCUCUUUUGUCAGGGAGCAAUUGGCGCUCCGUUUAGCAUUAUCGAGAGUCGCUGGAGAAAAAGCAUCCGCUAACUCCGUGCCAGCCGUCGCGGUAAUACGGGGGAUGCGAGCGUUAUCCGGUUUUAUUGGGUUUAAAGGGUGCGUAGGCGGAAUGCCAAGUCAGCGGUAAAAUCGCGGGGCUCAAGCUCGCUCCGCCGUUGAAACUGGCGUUCUUGAGUGGGCGAGAAGUAUGCGGAAUGCGUGGUGUAGUGGUGAAAUGCAUAGAUAUCACGCAGAACUCCGAUUGCGAAGGCAGCAUACGGGCGCCCAACUGACGCUGAAGCACGAAAGCGUGGGUAUCGAACAGGAUUAGAUACCCCAGUAGUC